rnacentral:rRNA from 1 species
GUGUGCGCGAGUCAUUGGGUGUCAAAACCUAAAGGCGUAAUGAAAGUGAAGGAAACUUUGUUUUCGAGGGAGGAUGGGUUAGGCUCUUGUUUACAAGGCCGGCCUCGCACUCCCGGGGCGUCUCUAUCUCAUUGCGAGAGGAGGCGCACCUAGAGCGUACACGCUGAUACCCGAAAGAUGGUGAACUAUGCCUGGCCAGGACGAAGCCAGGGGAAACCCUGGUGGAGGUCCGCAGCGAUUCUGACGUGCAAAUCGAUCGUCGGAGCUGGGUUUAGGGGCGAAAGACCAAUCGAACCAUCUAGUAGCUGGUUCCCUCUGAAGUUUCCCUCAGGAUAGCUUGCGCUCGGAAACAACGAGUCUCAUCCGGUAGAGCGAAUGAUUAGAGGCCUUGGGGUCGAAACGACCUCAACCUAUUCUCAAACUCCAAAUAGAUGAGAACCCCGGCUUUCUUGAACUUUGUUUAUGAAGCCGGGGGCUCGGAUCAGAGUGCCAAGUGGGCCAAUUUUGG